rnacentral:rRNA from 1 species
CAAGUCGAGCGAAGCACUUUGUUUUGAAUCUUCGGAGGAAGAACGAAGCGUCUGAGCGGCGGACGGGUGAGUAACGCGUGGGCAGCCUGCCUCAUACAGGGGGAUAACAGUUAGAAAUGACUGCUAAUACCGCAUAAGACCACAGUACUGCAUGGUACAGUGGUAAAAACUCCGGUGGUAUGAGAUGGGCCCGCGUCUGAUUAGCUAGUUGGUGAGGUAACGGCUCACCAAGGCAACGAUCAGUAGCCGACCUGAGAGGGUGACCGGCCACAUUGGGACUGAGACACGGCCCAAACUCCUACGGGAGGCAGCAGUGGGGAAUAUUGCACAAUGGGGGAAACCCUGAUGCAGCGACGCCGCGUGAGCGAUGAAGUAUUUCGGUAUGUAAAGCUCUAUCAGCAGGGAAGAAAAUGACGGUACCUGACUAAGAAGCCCCGGCUAACUACGUGCCAGCAGCCGCGGUAAUACGUAGGGGGCAAGUGUUAUCCGGAUUUACUGGGUGUAAAGGGAGCGUAGACGGCGAUGCAAGCCAGAUGUGAAAGCCCGGGGCUCAACCCCGGGACUGCAUUUGGAACUGUAUAGCUAGAGUGUCGGAGAGGCAGGCGGAAUUCCUAGUGUAGCGGUGAAAUGCGUAGAUAUUAGGAGGAACACCAGUGGCGAAGGCGGCCUGCUGGACGAUGACUGACGUUGAGGCUCGAAAGCGUGGGGAGCAAACAG